rnacentral:rRNA from 1 species
UACGGGGGGGGCAAGCGUUGUUCGGAAUUACUGGGCGUAAAGCGCGUGUAGGUGGUUAGAUAAGUCACUGUUGAAAGCGCCCGGCUAAACUGGGCGAGGCGCGGUGAGACUGUCUGGCUAGAGUAUGGGAGAGGGAUGCAGAAUUCCGGGUGUAGUGGUGAAAUGCGUAGAGAUCCGGAGGAAUACCAGAGGCGAAGGCGGCAUCCUGGCCUAAAACUGACACUGAGACGCGAAAGCAUGGGGAGCGAACGGG